rnacentral:rRNA from 1 species
AUGACUCCAUUUCAUGGGCCUGGGAGUCGGAUGGAUGGUUUUCCUCUAAAUCGGCGUAGAAGGUGCCUUUCGUGGGGCCACAUCAGAAUGGGCAAGUGUGAGAACAUAGCAUUACAAUGGCGGAUGAAGCAGAAUCCUUCCUACAAAGGCAAGUGGCAUGCACCCCUGAUUGACAACCCCAGCUACAAGGGAAUCUGGAAGCCCCAAGAUAUCCCCAACCCUGAGUACUUUGAGCUUGACAAGCCUGACUUUGAUCCAAUUGCUGCUAUUGGAAUUGAGAUUUGGACAAUGCAUGAUGGCAUCGUUUAUGGCAAUAUUCUUUUUGCCGAUGAUUAG